CGAGACUGGCACACCCGUUCCCAUCCCGAACACGGUAGUUAAGCUUCUCUGCGCCAAUGGUAGUUGGGGGCUUCCCCCUGCGAGAGUAGGUCGCUGCCGGGC
rnacentral:rRNA from 1 species